CACCACAACCUCAAAUGUACACCAGGCGUCUACGAUCAAUAUAGCAAAAGCAUAAUAUCUUAAUCAGGUAAUCAGAGCAAAACCAAAAGUUCAUAAACUUAUACAACACAAAACCUUAUUAUAACUUAAAAGUAAAGUACAAAGUACAUUCUACAUAGUCCUAAUACACAACACUGAACUAAACUAGAAAAGCUGGUAUGGUUCCAUCUAUUUUAACAUCAAGGAGGCUCUAGCUAUCCGCUGACCC
rnacentral:lncRNA from 1 species